AUUUGAUAUCAUCUAUCCCUUUAGCCUUAGUGGGGACCAUCUUCCUGUACGUGGUCAUGAUAUCUUUUGGAUGCAGCUUUAUUUGCCUUUAAGCCUAUAGAUAAGAUACUUCGUUCCUUAUCCAUUUGACAUUAUAUAUUGUUCCUUGGGCCUCGUCAGUUGUGGAAUUCAAGGAUGGACAAACGAUCCGCCACUGCUUGUUUUAUGGUGAUGCUUGUGUUGUUAGGAAGCAGUAUGACUACAGAGAACUGUGAGAUUAAGCGCGACAUGAUGACAUUUUGUAUAAAGUCUGAAUGCCUGUAUCAUUGCCAGCAUCGUUGGUAUUAUAAAGUCACGCAGUCUUGGUGUGA